CACCAGCCCCUCGAGUGGUGGGGAUGAUUAUUUGGCCUAAAGCGUCCGUAGCCGGCCGGGUAAGUUUCCCGUUAAAUCCAGCGUCUCAAGCGUUGGACUGCGGGAAAUACUGCCUGGCUAGAGAGUGGGAGAGGUCAGCGGUAUUCUGGGGGUAGGGGCGAAAUCCUUUGAUCCCCGGAGGACCACCAGUGGCGAAGGCUGCUGACUAGAACACGUCUGACGGUCAGGGACGAAAGCUGGGGUAGCGAACCGGAUUAGAUACCCGGGUAGUCCCAGCCGUAAACGAUGCAUGCUAGGUGUUGGGUUGGCCACGAGCCACCCCAGUGCCGCAGGGAAGCCGUUAAGCAUGCCGCCUGGGAAGUACGAUCGCAAGAUUGAAACUUAAGGAAUUGGGCGGGGGAGCACCACCAGGCGUGAAGCCUGCGGUUU
rnacentral:rRNA from 1 species